rnacentral:rRNA from 1 species
AUCUCGAGACUAAACUACGCAUUCCUUACCCUCAUUCCUAAAGUUAAAGGCGCUGACGUAAUCUCCCAAUUUAGACAUAUUGCUCUCAUUAACAACUUUGCUAAGAUUCCAGCCAAGGGUAUGGCUGUGAAGCUGUCCCCGAUCGCUCAUCGAGUCAUUAGCCCUUUCCAAUCUGCAUUCAUUAAGGGAAGAUACAUCCUGGAUGGGGUGCUUUGCCUUCACGAGAUUAUCCAUGAUCUGUGCACUAAGAACACCAAGGCUCUGGUGCUCAAGCUCAAUUUUGAAAAGGCGUACGAUUCGGUUAGUUGGAGCUUCCUUCGCCAAGUGAUG